GACUCUUUUCUGGUGCUUUUUGUUUCCCUGGAAUCCCUUGUUUCCUGCUGUCUUGCCUGCCUUCUAUGAGAAGUAUAUGUUGACAUUUUCUUGAUGCAAACAUUAUAUAGACAAAUUCUUUGAGCUUUCCUGAAGAUCCUUUCUCCAGGGAGGAUGCGCUGGCCAUGCAGCCCUUCUCCGCUGUGUGCUCCCGUGUCUGUCUUGCCCUCACCGUGUUCCAGCCAGGAUCUGGAGGCACGCUUCUUAAACUGUCGGAACGUCAUAUUAUUUUAUAUCCCAGAGCCAAACCUUGGGAAGUUGAAGAAUAACGGAGAGACAGACUCUGGCAGGAGCUGACCCCUUUUAUCCAGAUGAGGAAGGAGAUAAGCCCAGGAUGUGCGGCCAUGGUGGGGCGUGCCUCAUCCUCAUCUUGACUGUCUUUGCCUGGCAGUCCUCCCAGGCUCCUGGCUGAGUGGCUCUCUCAAGAGCGCCCCGAGGG